UGCAUUACCUACUGUAACUCCCUCUGGAUAAGAGUGUCUGCUAAAUGACUAAAA
rfam:Salmo salar isolate Sally breed double haploid chromosome ssa24, whole genome shotgun sequence.